rnacentral:rRNA from 2 species
ACAAACGACUCUCGGCAACGGAUAUCUCGGCUCACGCAUCGAUGAAGAACGUAGCAAAAUGCGAUACUUGGUGUGAAUUGCAGAAUCCCGUGAACCAUCGAGUUUUUGAACGCAAGUUGCGCCCGAAGCCUUUUGGCCGAGGGCACGUCUGCCUGGGCGUCAC